rnacentral:tRNA from 1 species
AGGGUUUCAUCGGAAAAACGUUAGUAUUAUGGAACUAAAAAUGGAGGUUCGAAUCCUUCUCUGCCC